rnacentral:rRNA from 1 species
UACGUAGGGGGGCAAGCGUUGUCCGGAAUUAUUGGGCGUAAAGCGCGUGUAGGCGGUCCGCUAAGUCGGCUGUGAAAGUCCAGGGCUCAACCCUGGGAUGCCGGUCGAUACUGGCGGACUAGAGUCCGGAAGAGGAGAAUGGAAUUCCCGGUCGGUAGCGGUGAAAUGCGCAGAUAUCGGGAAGAACACCCGUGGGCGAAGGCGGUUCCUCUGGGACGGUACUGACGCUGAGACGCGAAAGCGUGGGGAGCGAACAGG